rnacentral:rRNA from 1 species
GGGGGAUAUUGCGCAAUGGGGGAAACCCUGACGCAGCAACGCCGCGUGAAGGAAGAAGGUCUUCGGAUUGUAAACUUCUUUUGUCAGGGACGAAGAAAGUGACGGUACCUGACGAAUAAGCUCCGGCUAACUACGUGCCAGCAGCCGCGGUAAUACGUAGGGAGCGAGCGUUGUCCGGAUUUACUGGGUGUAAAGGGUGCGUAGGCGGCCGAGCAAGUCAGUUGUGAAAACUAUGGGCUUAACCCAUAACGUGCAAUUGAAACUGUCCGGCUUGAGUGAAGUAGAGGUAGGCGGAAUUCCCGGUGUAGCGGUGAAAUGCGUAGAGAUCGGGAGGAACACCAGUGGCGAAGGCGGCCUACUGGGCUUUAACUGACGCUGAGGCACGAAAGCAUGGGUAGCAAACAGGAUUAGAUAUCCUGGUAGUCCAUGCCGUAAACGAUGAUUACUAGGUGUGGGGGGACUGACCCCUUCCGUGCCGCAGUUAACACAAUAAGUAAUCCACCUGGGGAGUACGGCCGCAAGGUUGAAACUCAAAGGAAUUGACGGGGGCCCGCACAAGCAGUGGAGUAUGUGGUUUAAUUCGAAGCAACGCGAAGAACCUUACCAGGUCUUGACAUCCUGAGAAUCCUUAAGAGAUUAGGGAGUGCCUUCGGGAACUCAGAGACAGGUGGUGCAUGGUUGUCGUCAGCUCGUGUCGUGAGAUGUUGGGUUAAGUCCCGCAACGAGCGCAACCCUUGCUAUUAGUUGCUACGCAAGAGCACUCUAAUAGGACUGCCGUUGACAAAACGGAGGAAGGUGGGGACGACGUCAAAUCAUCAUGCCCCUUAUGACCUGGGCUACACACGUACUACAAUGGCGCAUACAAAGGGAAGCGAAGUCGUGAGGCGGAGCCAAUCUCAAAAAAUGCGUCCCAGUUCGGAUUGGAGUCUGCAACUCGACUCCAUGAAGUCGGAAUCGCUAGUAAUUCCGGAUCAGCAUGCCGGGGUGAAUGCGUUCCCG